UGGUUGUGAUGAGGACAAUCUCUAAGCAGCCCCUUGAACCUCUCCCAAGCUGCAUAUAAAGACUCCCCCGAUUUCAAUUUAAAAGCCACUAUCUCACUUCUAAUCUU
rnacentral:snoRNA from 1 species